AAAAAAAAAAAGAAUUAUCUUACUUCAUGUAUGGUAUGCCAACUGUUCGAUAAAGGUCCUUUUAGAAAUCUUCUAUUGAUUACCUUGCGAAGACCACAAAACUAGACACACCCAAAAGCAUUCUUGCAUAGUUUAUACAUAGAGAUGGCCGAUUGAUGAUCGUCUUAUUUGUAGACUUAACGCGAGCAGACUCGAUCGCUUAGUCCUUAUUGAUUUACGACACACAUGCUCACACACACACAUACACACAUCACAAAAUCACACAAAUUGACGGAUAAUGUUGCCGUUCAGCUCCUUCCUGAACCUCACCGCGGCAUUUUUCUGCACCAUAGUGGCCGUGAAAUACCACGAGACGAUGUCAUGGACGGCGACGUGUUGUCCGGUGGCGGCGGAUAGCCCGACCUGAACCUGCUGAGGAACAAAGUCGCUCAAAUCGUACUCAUAGUUGACAUCAAAUGUCUGCGAGCCGGCGGUGACUUUCACGGAGAUCAUCCUUGUGGCUCCGACGUAGUUGAUCCGCGCAGUCACCUGCUGCCCGAGUAUGGAGUUGUCGACCUUCGUCGUGUUGCUGGAUGCCCUAGAGCCGAAGUCGAUGCCGAUGUGGGGAUAGAGCGGAUCCCACGCGCCGUUGACGUAGGUGUCGAUUUCGACGGCGAAGACCGAGGGGCUGUUGCCGUUGGAGCCAAAGAUUCCGAGGUUGGCUCCGUUGGAGCCAGGGGGGAUGGUGGAACCGACGGGGGCAAUGAAGAAGGCGAGGCCGUCGGCAGGCUCGUUGUCGGCGCCCGGGGUGAUGAUGAAGUUCACAGUGGUUUCGAAGUCGACCUGCCCACCGGACUGCGAGAAUUGGACCGGGUUCGAGUGCAAGACGCGGCCGACUUGUGAGGGCUGUGCGUCUGUGAGGCGGAGGAAGGUGGAGUCCGUCGGGAAAUGGGCGCUGCCUUGAUAGAUGAGAUCUUUCGGCUGGUCGCCCCAGAAGUCGUAGGUGAAGGACGUCGUUUGGGACAACGCCGUGUUGGAAACGGCGAGGAGGAGGGCGAUGGAGGCGAGGAGAGGAGUUAAGGUUUGAACAAGCUGGUUGGCCAUGGCUUAAUUGAUUUAGAUUUAGAUUUAGAGAUGUGGUGGAUGAUGGUGGCCAGGUAUCGAUCUCUUGCACCUAUUUAUACUAGUAUGGUUCAUGCCUGUUAAUAAUUGUAUAUAUCAAUCAAUCAUCGUGCAUCUAUCCCAAAUUAUAUGUCUUAUUAUUCACUAAUUAGAUGGAAUAAAUCCUAAUUAGCAAUCUUAAAAUUACACCGCCAAUGAGGCCUUGCUCUAGUGGUAAAGCUGUGGCACCGAAUAACUUUUCUUUGUGAAAGGUCUUGGGUUCAAUCUCGCCUGCAUGCGGUGAUGUUUGUCCAUUUUAGAUGGUGUGGUAUUCUUGCCUGCGUGCGGUGUUGUAUUAUUUAGUCUUAGGCGUUCUUGCCUGUGUGCAUAUCACUGUGUGACAAUUAAAAGAAUGACUUUAAAAUAAAAGUUAAGCCUUAAAAAUUUAAUCUACAUUCAUAUAUAACUGAAAUUACAUGCAUGUCUAAUUUUUUUAAUAUCAUAACAAGAUAAGAUUUAUUAAAUAAUUCAGAUGCAUAAAUAAAAAGUUAAUCUAUAAACACAGUAUAGAUAUAUUAUCAAUGAUAGGCCGUGUAUAAGUCUUAAUCUGUAAAACUAUAUCAUCCCAGCCUUAAACGACUACCAUUCCUGCUUUCCCAGAGCAACCACACUGUUCCCACCCACAAAGCUUUAAGCAGUACAUGCAUGUCUAAAUAUUAUUUAUAAUUAUCAAUAACAAGAUUAAUGAUUCUAUAUCUCUAUGUUUAUACAUAUAUUCACGUAUGACAUAGUAUAUAUUAGCUAUUAAGUUAAAAACUAAUAAAAUACUACAGUUUUGCAUAGGAUAUAUAUUUAAUUAGUAGUAGGAUAGGACACGUGUAUUAAUUUUAAGGGCAAGUAAUCAAACUUUUGAAUGAUUCAUCAUGCUUAAAAAAAAAAAGAGACCUAGAUAGAUGAUUCAUCAGAUUCAAAAACAAGUAUAAAUAGACUUCGAGUUUGAAAUUUUAAUUAAUUUGCAACAACAAUUCAAACUGACUGUAUUAAGGUAAGUAGUUACAGAUUUCAUACACAUUAUAUGAUUUCGCGCACAUACGUAUGUAUAUAUAAAUAUUUUUUAAAAUCAUAUACUCCCUCCGUCCCCAAAAUAAGUUCCUCUUUGGGGACGGCACGGAUUUUAAGGAAAAGUGGUAAAGUGUAUUAAUAGUGGAGAAAAAUAUGUUAUAAUUAGUAUUGGAAGUUGUGAAAAGGUGAAAAAGUGUUAUAAUUAGUAUUGGGAGUGGUGAAAAAGUGAAAAGUAAGAAUAAAUAAAGUAUUAUUAGUGGUGGGGUAGUUGUCCAAAAAUGGAAAAAAAGAAAGAGGAACUUAUUUGGGGGACAUCCCAAAAUGGAAAAAGAGGAACUUAUUUCAGGGACGGAGGGAGUAUUAUAUAAUAAUUAUAUUUAAGUUUUAUAUUAUUCUUUAUAAACUAUUGUUCCAUUCUAUAUAAUUAGGUGUGGCACGACUAGGACGUAACUUUCGAUUGAAUUUCUCAAGUUAAUUUUCAAGUUCAAGUUUCAGGUGUGAGAUUUAUUUAAAUACAUGUCAUGAUUAUUCAUUGUCCAUUUUAAUAGUAUGUGUUUACCAUAUGUGUUAUGACGCAUAUUUUGAGGACAUCGCUAGGAGCCCAUAAAUAGGGUCCAGGACUUCACCGUCCUUGGAUUGCCACAAUGCGAUUUGAGGUUUAUUUUGAGGAUGUCGUCAGGGGCCCGUAAAUAGGGUCCAGGACUUUAAUAGUCAUUGGGUUGCCACAGUGCGAAUAUUGAAGAUAUAUAUGAAGUGACCGUAUGUGUUACCGUUUCAUUAACGUGGACAAUGAUUGCAUGUUUAAGAGACAAUAACCAAUUUUUCAGACAUUUGUGAACAAAAUGAAGCAUGUUUAGAGAUCCUUAAUAAAGGUGUACGAAAUGAUGGAUAAAUAAGUUUGUGAAACAAAUUUCACCAUACCUAACCCCACAAUUAUUUGCGGUCGAAUUUCCUCGUCACAGGAAAAAGAGAUGAUGACAAAAGGGCAAAAAUUAAUUAACAAAGUAGAAGAUGCAUGACAACUGUAAAAGAAAAAUAAUGCUACUAAUUAAAUAGUCCAAACUUCAUACGUUUCAUAUCAUAAGUGGCAGUUCUAUUUUUUUUUUGCGAAAGUGAACAAAAUAACGAAUAAUUUUUAAAGUAAUAGUAAUAAGGAGAUGUGUUUUGACAGAAAACGACAUGAGCGGCCUAAAAAUAAGAGGGAAAAAGAUAAUCAUAUAAAUAUGGGUUAAUUGCCUCUAAAUACACCACCUUUCCUUGAAUUCUACAAUUGCACAUCACCUUUAAAAUCCGCCCUUAAAUACACCACCUUUCCUUGAGUUCUACAAUUGCACAUCACCUUUAAAUCCGCCCCAAAAUACAUCAUCUUUAUAUUUUUUCUGUUUUUGCACAUGACUAAAAAAUUCUCAAGAAAUAAAUUAAAGUGUUAAUUUAUAAAUUUAAAUAUCUUUUUAGCAGCGAAAACAUAAUAAAAUAAAAUUCUUUAUAAAGUUUAAAAUCAUAUAUAUAUAUAUAUAUAUAUAAGUAUUUUCGUAAAGAAAUAAAUUCUCUAAUAAAUUUUUAGAAAGAACUUGAAUUAAAAAAAUAAACAAGUCAUGACAUUAAGAAAAUAAAAUGAAAUUUUUAUUUUAAUAAAUUUCACACGAAUUCGAUAUAAUUUGGAAUUUAGAGUUACAAUAAUCAGAAGUACCACAUGAAUAAUAUAAUGAGUUUGAAAGAAAUUUUUUUUAAAGAGGUUCGACACGCCCAUUCGACUUUCCACGCGCCUCCAAUGUCAUUUACCUGAAAUAUUAANUAUAUAAGUAUUUUUCGUAAAGAAAUAAAUUCUCUAAUAAAUUUUUAGAAAGAACUUGAUUAAAAAAUAAACAAGACAUGACAUUAAGAAAAUAAAAUGAAACUUUUAUUUUAAUAAAUUUCACACGAAUUCGAUAUAAUUUGGAAUUUAGAGUUACAAUAAUAAAAAGAACCACAUAAAUAAUAUAAUCAGUUUGAAAGAAAUAUAUAUAUAUUUUUUUAAAGAGGUUCGACGCGCCCAUUCGACUCUCCACGCGCUACCAAUGUCAUUACCUGAAAUACUAAAUAUGGGAUAAGCAUACAUAAUAUACUUAGUGUGGGAACAUGCAAUUAUUGUCCACGUUAAUAAAAUAGUAACACAUACGAUCAUAACAUUCAAAACGACACAAUUUUGCCAAUAUGGAAGCCACGUCAUUUAAAGUGGUAACACCCUAAUCUAACUAAAGUGUUAAAUAUAAAUUUAAAGCGGAAAUAUAAUAAAAUAAAGUUCUUUAUAAAAAUAAAUAAAGAAUUUUAUUUUAUUAUAUUUCCGCUGCUAAAAAAGAUAUUUAAAAUUUAUAAAUUAACACUUUAAUUUAUUUCUUGAGGAUUUUUAAGUCAUGUGCAAAAACAGAAAAAAAAUAUAAAGGUGAUGUAUUUUGGGGCGGAUUUAGAAUUCAAGGAAAUGUGGUGUAUUUAGGGGCGGAUUUUAAAGGUGAUGUGCAAUUGUAGAAUUCAAGGAAAGGUGGUGUAUUUAGGGGAAAUUAACCCUAUAAAUAUUCAAAAUCAAACGGAUUGGCAUGUAUUCAUCAUUUUUUAUUUUUUAUUUUGAUAAUUUAACAGUAUUAAAUAAAGAAAUUUAUAGGCUGCGUCCCUUACUGCUUGGCUUUUAGAUUAUGUUGUAAUAAUAAAAUUAAAAGCACGUUUACAAUAUAAAAUUAAUUAUGAUAAAUACAAUAUAUUAAUAAUAAAUACUCAAUUACCUCUUAACAUAAUUCGCGCAUCAUGGCUUUUAGCUUAUAUUAUAAAGAUAUAAUAUGUUGUCUAUAAUAAUCGACGGAAGGUAAUAGACAACAUGUUUUACUUCUUGUCUAUAAUAAUAUAGACAGUAGAUCUAGUGUUAUAGAUAACAAUUAAUACGUGUUGUCUAUAUGAUGAUAGACACCAAAAAUCUCUGUUGUCUAUUCUAUGACAAAAAAAUUUAAAAAAAUUCUAAUAUAUUUACAUCCCUGUAUUACAAUACCAAUAUAUAUGAAAAAAUAAAAAUAAUUAAAAAUCAAAUAAUCAAACAAUACUUAUAAACCACUAAUACUCACAAUCAAAUAUUUACACAUCAACAAUUGUAUUAUCUUUAAUUACGCCUUCAUUUAUCUACUAAAAAAAAUCUCUAAUAAAAUCUCUAACUAACUCCGGUCAUCAUCUCUUGAAGGCUUAGAAAAUGUCCAAAUACAGCGGCACAUGCUCAUUAUUGUGUGAGCGAUGAGAACUUUGCGCUGAACCUAUAAAGUAACUAUACUUAACUGGUAAAGUAAUUGUAUCCCGUGAAUCUAAAGGAAGAAUAAACACGUUGAUAGAGUUUGAAAGAAAAGAAUAAAGAGAAUGAAAAUCCAAAGAAUUUGCUUCUUCCGUUGAACAAUCCCUACACAACGUUGAAAUAUCAAUGAAAACAAUGGCUAUCCUAUACUCCCUCCAUCCAUGAAAGAACUUCCUAGGAGGGAGUGACACGGGUUUUAAGAAAAAAUAUUGUUAAGUGUAUUGAGAGUGGAUAAAAGGUAGUUGAGUGUAUUGGGAGUGGUGAAAAUGUGUUAUAGUUAAUAUUGAGAGUUGUGAAAAGUGAAAAGUAAGAGGAUUAUAAGUGGUGGGGUAUAGUCCAAAAAUAGGUAGGAAGUUCUUUUGUGGACGUCCCAAAAAGGAAAGAUAUGAAGUUCUUUCGUGGACGGAGGGAGUAUUAUUUUGCAGCAGCAACCACGUUUAAAAACUCGAUCCCUCUAUUCUUGAAUUUGUGAAAUUUCCGACUGAUUUAUUAGAUUCACCAUUUAUUUCAGUUUAAUUAGUCUAUAUAUAGAUAUUUCUUAUAUUAUUAAAUUGUUAACCUCAUGGUAGAUUUCAAGAUUUGAAAAUUCAACAAAGAGCUUGAGAAUUAUAGAGAUUGGAAGGGGAAGAUGAAACAUAGUUGGGUGAAAUUAGAAACCAAUUAAAGUCAGGAGAUUGAAGAAAAACAUAACUUAAAAACACAAAAUAAGCAAAUCGUAGAUGCAGUAUCUUGCAAGAAAAAGUUCAUAUUCCCAAGGCUAUGAUGAGCACGAAUUAGGGUGUGUCUGCAUUUUAUCCCUCUAAAUGGAGGAAUAAUAAAAUUUUAUGCCUUUAAAUGUUUGCUUUCUUAUCACACAUUCUAAACAAACACCAUUUUUUCUUCCUUAUUUUCACUUCAAUGAGGGAUAAUAUUAUCCCUCCAAUUUUGGUGUGAUAAUAUUAUCCCUCCUACAAGUGAAAAUAAGGAAGAAAAAAUGGUACUCCCUUCGUCCCAAACGAAAUGUCCUGUUUUCCUUUUUGGGCUGUCCCAAACGAAAUGUCCUGUUUCCUUUUUUGGCAAUACACUCUCUCUCUAUACUUAAUAUUUAAAUAAUUUUCACCAACCCACUUUAUCUACUUUAUACACAUUUCUUAAUCUCCGUGCCGAAAAGAAAUGGGACAUUUCGUUUGGGACGGAGGGAGUAUUUGUGUAGGAUGUGGGAUAAGAAAACAAACAUUUAAAGACAUAAAUUUUUGUUAUUCCUCCAUUUAGAGGGAUAAAAAGCAAACACACCUUAGAGUCUAAUUACAAUUUAGGCGCAGGCUGUGUGAGAAUUACUUAGUCGAAUAGGAUCCUUAGUAUUUAUAUUUCUCAUGUUCUUGUGUAUUUUUUCACUGAUUCACUAUUGGAUUAACAAGAAUUAUCUUACUUUAAAAAAAAAAAAGAAAUGAUCUUACUUCAUGUAUGGUAUGCCAACUGUUCGAUAAAGGUCCUUUUAGAAAUAUUCCAUAGAUUACCUUGCAAAGACCACAAAACUAGACACACCCUGCAUAGUUUAUACAUAGGGAUGGCCGAUUGAUGAUCGUCUUAUUUGUAGACUUAACGAGAGCAGACUCGAUCGCUUAGUCCUUACUGAUUUACGACACACAUGCACACAUACACAGAUACACACAUCACAAAAUCACGCAAAUUGACGGAUAAUGUUGCCGGCCAGCUCCUUCCUGCUCCACGCCACGGCAUUUUUCUGCACCAUGGUGGCCGUGAAAUACCACGAGACGAUGUCAUGGGUGGCGACGUGUUGUCCGGUGGCGGCGGAUAGCCCGACCUGAACCUCCUGAGCAACAAAGUAGCUCAAAUCGUACUCAUAGCUGACAUCAAACGUCUGAUUGCCGGCGGUGACUUUGACGGAGAUCAUCCUUGUGGCUCCGACGUAGUUGAUCCGCGCAGUUACCUGCUGCUUGAGUAUGGAGCUGUCGACCGGCGUCGUCUUGCUGGAUACCCUAGAGCCGAAGUCGAUGCCGAUGUGGGGAUAGAGCGGAUCCCACGCGCCGUUGACGUAGGUGUCGAUUUCAACGGCGAAGACCCCGGGGCUGUUGCCGUUGGAGCCAAAGAUUCCGAGAUUGGCUCCGUCGGAGCCAGGGGGGAUGGUGGAGUCGACGGGGGCAAUGAAGAAGGCGAGGCCGUCGGCAGGCUCGUUGUCGGCGCCGGGGGUGAUGAUGAAGUUCACGGUGGUUUCGAAGUCGACCUGCCCAUUGGACAUCCAGAAUUGGACCGGUUCCGAGUACAUGACGCGGCCGACUUGGGACGGUUGUGCGUCUGUGAGGCGGAGGAAGGUGGAGUCCGUCGGGAAAUGGGCGUUGCCUUGAUAGAUGAGAUCUUUCGGCUGGUCGCCCCAGAAGUCGAAGGUGAACGACGUCGUUUGGGACAACGCCGUGUUGGAAACGGCGAGGAGGAGGGCGAUGGAGGCGAGGAGAGGAGUUAAGUUGGCCAUGGCUUAAUAGAUUUAGAUUUAGAGAUGUGGUGGAUGAUGGUGGUAUCGAUCUGUUGCACCUAUUUAUACUAGUAUGGUUCAUGCCUGAUAAUAAUUGUAUCAAUCAAUCAUCGUGCAUCUAUCCCAAAUUAUAUGUCUUAUUAUUCACUAAUUAGAUGGAAUAAAUCCUAAUUUGCAAUCUUAAAAUUAAACCGCCAAUGAGGCCUUGCUCUAGUAGCAAAGCUGUGGCACCCAAUAACUUUUCUUUGUGAAAGGUCUUGGGUUCAAUCUCGCCUGCAUGCGGUGAUGUUUGCCCACUUUAGGUGGUGUGGUAUUCUCGCCUGCGUGCGGUGUUAUAUUGUUUAGUGUUAAGGUCCCACAUGCAGGGCGUUCUUGCAUGUGUGCGUGUCACAACCCAAAACCAUUUAUUUUCUUUACAAAUUUUAUAUGAAAAUUAUUUGAUUUUUAAGUUAUAGAGUUUUCGAUAUAUAUACAUAUAGUGUCAAUUUUAUGUUAACUUAGUCGUGUCCCUAAUUAAAAGAAUGAAUUUGAAAUAAAAGUUAAGCCUUAAAAAUUUAAUCUACAUUCAUAUAUAACUGAAAUUACAUGCAUGUCUAAAUAUUAUUUAUAAUUAUCAAUAACGGGAUUAAUGAUUCUAUAUCUCUAUGUUUAUACAUAUAUUCACGUAUGACAUAGUAUAUAUUAGCUAUUAAGUUAAAUAAAAUACUACAGUUUUGCAUAGGAUAUAUAUUUAAUUAGUAGUAGGAUAGGACACGUGUAUUAAUUUUAAGGGCAAGUAAUCAAACUUUUGAAUGAUUCAUCAUGCUUAAAAAAAAGAGACCUAGAUAGAUGAUUCAUCAGAUUCAAAAACAAGUAUAAAUAGACUUCGAGUUUGAAAUUUUAAUUAAUUUGCAACAACCAUUCAAACUGACUGUAUUAAGGUAAGUAGUUACAGAUUUCAUACACAUUAUAUGAUUUCGCGCACAUACGUAUGUAUAUAUAAAUAUUUUUUAAAAUCAUAUAUUAUAUAAUAAUUAUAUUUAAGUUUUAUAUUAUUCUUUAUAAACUAUUGUUCCAUUCUAUAUAAUUAGGUGUGGCAUGACUAGGACGUAACUUUCGAUUGAAUUUCUCAAGUUAAUCUUCAAGUUCAAGUUUCAGGUGUGGGAUUUAUUUAAAUACAUGUCGUGGUUAUUUAUUAUCCAUUUUAAUAAUAUGUGUUUACCAUAUGUGUUAUGAUGCAUAUUUUGAGGAUAUCGCUAGGGGCCCAUAAAUAGGGUCCAGGACUUCACCGUCCUUGGAUUGCCACAAUGCAAUUUGAGGUUUAUUUUGAGGAUGUCGUCAGGGAUCCGUAAAUAGGGUCCAGGACUUUAAUAGUCCUUGGGUUGCCACAGUGCGAAUAUAUUGAGGAUAUAUAUGAAGUGACCGUAUGUGUUACCGUUUCAUUAACGUGGACAAUGAUUGCUUGUUCUCACACUGAGUGUACUCUGUAUGCUCAUCCCAUAUUUAACGUGGAAGGUCGAUUGACGAAUCAAAUAUUUUGUAUUUAGCUUUACCUAAAUAUGUUAUUUUGAGUAAAGUAUUUUAAAUAAAAAUUUAUUUCAUAAUUUUCUCAUUAAAUAUUUAUUUAUAUUCAUAGCUUUUCCGCACAAAUAUUUAUUUAAAUUUUAAUUAGAUUUGGGUGUCACUGUGCGGUGAUGUUUUUCCACCGUUUCGGUGGUGGUGAGGCCCCACCUGCGUGCACGUUAUAUACUUGAUUAUAUUCAGAUACCUCUUGUAAUUUUUAAAAAAAUAAUCAUAAAAUUAAACCAAAGCAUAUAAAAUUGAAAUUGGCCAAAAAAAUAUAUAAAAAUAAAUAAAAUUAAAAAUGGGAUAUAAAGUGAGACAUUAAAUGUGGUACACUACUGAAUCUCAAUCCAACACGUGGAUGCUACAUUGUACUUGUCGGAAUAUUAGAACUUCUACAAAAUAUUGCUAUUGGAAACGUGAAAUUUUAUUAUGAGAAAACUUAUACCUGACCCCACAGUCGUGGGCACGUGUUAUGUUGCGCGGAAAUUAAAGUGGUGGGGACCGUAAAUGGUAUUUUAGUCUUUUAAUUUAUUUUAGUAUACAAAAGAGUUAAUUUUAAAGAGGCGCUAAAAAACACAUCACUUUUAAAAAUUGGUAUUUAAAAUCUUGAACCCCUUUUAUUAUUUUAGAAAGAUAUUAAUUAAUUGAUAAAUUAAUAAAUUAUUAAUUGAAACAAUUAUUUUAAGCAAAUUUAAUUAUAAUUACCUAAAAAUUUAAAAAACAUAAAUUCAAUACCAUUCAAAUUCAACAAACUAACUUAAAUUUUUACUUUAAAAAAUCUUCAUCAAUCUUGCAAUCUCGGCUUGGACUAUAAAUGUUCAACAAGAGACAAUAACCAAUUUUUCAGACAUUUGUGAACAAAAUGAAGCAUGUUUAGAGAUCCUUAAUAAAGGUGUACGAAAUGAUGGAUAAAUAAGUUUGUGAAAAUUUCACCAUACCUAACCCCACAAUUAUUUGCGAUCGAAUAUCCUCGUCACAGGAAAAAGAGAUGAUGACAAAAGGGAAAAAAAAAUUAACAAAGUAGAAGAUGCAUGACAACUGUCAAGAUAAAUAAUGUUACUAAUUAAAUAAUCCAAACUUUAUACGUUUCAUAUCAUAAGUGGCAGUUCUAUAUUUUUUGCGAAAGUGAACAAAAUAACGAAUAAUUUUUAAAGUAAUAGUAAAAGGAGAUGUGUUUUGACAGAAAACGACAUGAGCGGCCUAAAAAUAAGAGGGAAAAAGAUAAUCAUAUAAAUAUUCAAAAUCAAACGGAUUGGCAUGUAUUCAUCAUUUUUUAUUUUAAUAAUUUAACAGUAUUAAAUCAAGAAAUUUAAAGACCGCGCCCCUUACUGCUUGGCUUUAAGAUUAUGUUACAAUAAUAAAAUUAACAGCACGUUUACAAUAUAAAAUUAAUUAUGAUAAAUGCAAUAUAUUAAUAAUAAAUACUCAAUUACCUCUUAACAUAAUUCGCGCAUCAUGGCUUUUAGCUUAUGUUAUAAAGAUGGAGUAUAAAAUAAUCAUCACCUGUGCAUGAUAUUUCACAAAAUAAUUAAAUAAUAAAAUAAUCAAUCAUAAUGCCAAGACGUGACUCUUGUCGGUCAUAUCUCAUCAACUUUAUCUAUAUAGUACAAUGAUGAUUAAUUUGAGAACGACGAUUAAGACACCAACUAUUCUUGUGGGGACACAUGCAUAUAUAGAAUUAAUAUUAUAAACUCUCUCGGUCCACGAAAUAACUUACUAUUUUUUCUUUUAAGAACGUGAACAAAAAAAAUUCCCAUCGAUAUUUCGGAACUAUACCCCACUACUUUAAAAUACCUCAUUUUACCCUUUCUUUUUCACAAAAACAACAAAUUACUAAUAAUUUUUCACUAUUCCUAAUAUACUGAACAAUUUUUCUCCACUCUCAAAUUUUGUAGCACCGAAUAAAAUUAAAUACUAGUAUUAUUUUUUGUAGAACUAUAAAUAAAUAUUAUUCUCAAAACAUGUACUAUUACUUACUAUUUUUUUUAAAUGUGGGACGACCAAAAAAGGAAAGAUGAAUUCUAAAAGCUGGGACAGAGGAUAUAUUAUUUUUCUUCUUGGUUCUGAAGUAUGAAUAUUAAUUAACAAUUCUUCGUCCACAUCAAGCUCACCUUCACGUAAUUUUUUCUUGAACAACACCGAAAAAUAUAUAAUCCCAACAUAGCAUGAUCAAUCUCAAUGCACCAAACAUAAAUUAGUUUUAAAAUAAUAAUAAGAUUAACUACUAUAUUGCUGAAUUAUGCAGUAGAAUUAAAAGCGUGAUUUUUUUUUAAUAGAGCAGGUUAAUCUAGGCCUACCUGAACCAUCUGACUAUGCAUGAGUUUGAUUUUUCUUCUUGAUCUUUUUUAAUUUUACCGACAAAGAAGAUUUUCACAAAUGAAAAGAAAACGUUCUAGUAACAUACUACAUGCUUACUUCAGAUUUGCAACCAAGUCUAUUGAGGGUUUUAUUUGCUACAUAUAUAAACACAAGGAUUUGGUUUGAUACAAAUUAAGAAUAUUCAACUUUCAUCGGCUCAAGCACAUAGAAUCUCCCCGAGUAGUUAUAACUGGUCAAUGUUUUUGCCGAUAAAAAGGAAAAGGAAAGAAAAAAGAAAGAAGCAAGACGGAGAAAAAGUUGUAGUAAAUGAUUAUGCGAUGAAAAGAAAAUGGAAAAGAGAAAGAAAGAAGAAAGUUGUAGGAAUUUUGAAGAAUUUGUACUUAUUUAGAAUUGUGGUUAUUGUGGGAUCUUGUAUAAUAAUAAUAAUAAUAAUAAUAAUAAUAAUAAUAAUUAUUGGGCCGUUCCACGAAUCUUGGCACAUUUUCAAAUAAGGUAAUAAUUCAUUCUCUCUCUUACUUUAUCACUUUAAUACUUUAUUAACUACAAACUUAAAACACUAAUAUACAAUUCCUUAAUUCCCGUGUCGAAACCAAACGUGUCAAGAUUCGUUGGAUGGAGGGAGUAAUAAUAAUAAUAAUAAUAAUAGUAAUAAUAAUAAUAAUAAUAAUAAUAAUACAUCAUUGCCCUUUAAAAAGUUUUAAAAUAGGAACAUAAUAUGUAAAUCUAAUUUUGUAAAAGAAGCUCUUCUAUAGUAAUAGUUAUAGAUUUGGUGUGGAGGCAUUUGUUUGAGAAUGGGUAAAACAUACCAUUAACCCUUUGAUAUAUGCACGAGACACUUAUUUGUGGAUAGGACAAGAAUUAUUUUGUUGCAUAGGAUCCCUUCCAAAUGUAAUUACUGAUUCACAAUUGGAUUAACAAGAAUUAACUUACUUCAUAUUCAGUAUUCCAACUGUUCGAUAAAAGUUCUUAAUGAAAUCUUCCAUAGAUUACCCAAAUGCAUUGUUUUGCAUAGUCCGUACAUUGAGAUGGUCGAGUAUCUUAUGUCUAGACUUAACGAGAGCAGACUCGAUCGCUUAGUCCUUAUUUAUUUACGACACACACACAUCUCAAAAUCACACAAAUUGACGAAUAAUGUUGCCAGCCAGCUCCUUCCUGUUCCACGCGCCAGCAUUUGUCUUCACCAUGGUGGCUGUGAAAUACCAUGAGAUAAUAUCAUGUUUGGCGACGUAUGGUUGGUUUAGUCCGCUGGCGGCGGAGAGCCCUACCUGAACCUGCUCAGGAAGAAACUCGCCCAAAUUGUACACAUGGCUGACCUCAAACGUCUUCGAGCCGGCGGUGGCACUGACGGUGAUCAUCUUCGUGGCUCCGACGUAGUUGAUCCGCGCAGUCACCUGCUGUCCGACUAUGGCGUCUCCGACAUUCGUCGUGUUGCUGGAUUCCCUAGAUCCGAGGUCGAUGCCGAUGUGGGGAUAGUUCGGAUCCCACGGGCUGUUGAUGAAGGUGUCGAACUCGACGGCGAAGACCGAGGGGCUAUUGCCGUUGGAGCCGAAAAUUCCGAGGUUGGCCCCAACAGCGCCACUGGGGAUGGUGGAGCCGACGGGGGCAAUGAAGAAAGCGAGGCCGUCAGCGGUUUUGCCAUCGGGGCUGGGUGUGAUGAUGAAGUUAAUGGUGGUUUCAAAGUCGACUUGGCCACCGGAUUGGGAGAACUGGACCGGCUUCGAGUACAAGACCCGGCCGACCUGGUAUGUCUCGAAGUCGGUGAGGCGGAGGAAGGUGGAGUCCGAUGGGAAAUGGGCGUGGCCUUGGUAGGUGAGAUCGGUCGGCUGGUCGCCCCAGAAGUCGUAGGUGAAGGACGUUGUUUGGGACCACACCGUGUUGGCAGCGGCGGCAAGGAGAAGGGCGAUGGAGAUUAGGGUUUGUUGAAGGUUGGCCAUCGCUUAAUUGAUUUGGAUGUGGUGGAUGAUGGUGGUAUCUUUAUCUUGCUUCUAUUUAUAGUAGUAUAACGAGCCCUAGUUAAUUAUCUUUAAAUCAUACUAAAAUAUCAUAAAUUAAAAUUGAAGAAAAAAAAGUUAAAACCUACUCUCGCAGUCCCUCAAAUAACUUCUUAGGAGAAGAGGGGUAGGAGUUUUAAGACGAAGUUAAUGUGCAAAGUAAGGAUAAA
rnacentral:lncRNA from 1 species